UUAUUUGGGGUUCAAUUUUUUUUUUCUCCCCAUAUUUUCGUUACUAACAAGAAGAUCACUUCUCCAUUGAAAUGGGAUACCAUCAAUUUCCAUUUCUAAGGAUCAUACGGACAAACCAAAGAUCUGAUUGAUUAUUAAAUUCUGUCUCAUAUCUAUAUAACCUCUUCAUAUAAGAUCUAUACAGUUUGAGAUUGUUUGAGUUUUUCAGCUUCCUUGAAAUUUCAUCUCUCUCUCUCUUUUAUUGACAUGGCUUCUUCUUUGUCUUCCUUUUUCAGGAAUCCCUUGUUGUGAAGAGGGUCUAAUAAACACAAAUAGUUUCUUUGGUCCAUCAACUGACAGUUCCUCAAGAGUCAUUAUGGCUUGUACUUCAGUGGCUAUUGGCAAUUCUCCAGCCGCUACAAUAACAAAAGACAUCAUCUUCAAAGAAUAUAAUGGGCUUCGUCGUUCGCACUCCAGCAAGGACAUUAGAGAACGAGCUUGCAUCAAAAGAUCUUAUUCUGAUAACCAAAUUUGUUACUCAGCAAACAAAAUUCAUGCUAAUUCAACACAGCCAAAGCCAAAAAACAGCAAUAACAACAGUAUGGGAACGGGGAUUUUUCCUUUGAAAUUUUCAGGGUCUUUUCUUCCUAAUGCAGUCAGAUCAUUUCUGUUUGACAUGGAGGAGACCUCAAAGGAUCUCACUGGUGAAGAGGAGGUGACAAAGAGAGCAAACUGGAUCGAGAGAUUGUUGGAGAUUCGAAGUCGUUGGCGGAUAAAGCAGCAGCAAAAAGGCGGAGUUGAGAAUGAUCUUUAUGCAGAUCACGAUGAAUACACUGAGAGUGUGUUUGGUGGAGAUGAUGAUGUCUGUGAAGUGGAUUAUUAUGACUCUGAAGAUGAAGAAGGACUUACUUUUGAUACUGAAUUAUUUGCAAGAUUUUUAAUCCGGGUUCCAUUGUCUGAUACCAAGGUGUUUUCGCGGUUGGCUUUCCUGUCAAACAUGGCCUACGUUAUACCAAAAAUAAAGGCAGAGGAUUUAGAAAUAUAUCAUGGCCUGCAAUUUGUUACAUCCUCCUUGCGCAAGAAAGCAGAUGCUGCAGCUAUUAAUAUCAAAGAAAAACUGGAUCAGCAAUCAACUUGUAUUUCUGAUGAGGCCUUCAAUGUUGAUGAAUCUUUUUCAGUGGAAGCCUUGGAGCUGGGGAGGACACGACAAAUCCCCACAACUGUUGCUUAUGAGAUUGCUGCGACAGCUGCAUCUUAUGUUCACUCAAGAGCCAAAAAUCCUUCAUCCCAUCCUUUGGAAUCACAAGAAAAGGGAGAGAGUUCGACUCGGGCAUAUAAUCCCGAGGUGGCUGCCUAUGUUGCAGCUUCAACAAUGACUGCUGUGGUUGCUGCUGAGGAGGUGCAGAAACAGGAGACUGCAAAAGACCUCCAAUCUCUUCACUCUUCUCCUUGUGAAUGGUUCAUUUGUGACGAUACUCACACCUUGACCCGAUGCUUCAUUAUUCAGGGAUCAGAUUCCUUGGCAUCUUGGCAAGCAAAUCUUUUUUUCGAGCCCACCAAAUUUGAGGGGACUGAAGUGCUUGUCCAUAGAGGAAUAUAUGAAGCUGCAAAGGGAAUAUACAAGCAAUUCAUGCCAGAAAUUAUAGACCAUUUGAAAAAAUAUGGAACCCAUGCAAAGUUUCAGUUUACUGGCCAUUCUCUUGGAGGCAGUCUUUCCCUUUUGGUGCACUUGAUGCUACUGAAGAAUGGGGUUGUCAAACCUACUAUGCUUCAACCAGUGGUCACUUUUGGCUCUCCAUUUGUGUUCUGUGGUGGACACAAGAUUCUAAAUGAAUUGGGUUUGGAUGAAAACGAUAUUCAUUGCGUCAUAAUGCAUCGAGAUAUUGUUCCAAGGGCCUUCUCCUGCAACUAUCCCAACCAUGUUGCUGCUGUACUCAAGCGGUUGAGUGGAUCGUUUCGGUCACAUUCUUGCCUCAACAAAAGUUUACUGUACUCUCCAUUGGGUAAGCUAUUCAUUUUGCAACCUGAUGAGAUGUCAUCUCCCCCUCAUCCUAUGCUCCCUCAAGGAAGUGCCCUCUAUACUUUGGAUAGCACCCAAAAUGGAUAUUCCAAAGGCCUCCUUAGGGCCUUUCUAAAUUGUCCUCAUCCACUUGAGACACUCAGUGACCCUACAGCUUAUGGGUCAGAGGGCACCAUUUUAAGAGACCAUGACUCAAGUUUCUAUCUCAAGGCUUUGAAUGGGGUUCUUAAACAACAAACAAAGAUGACUGUUGGAAAAGUCAGAAAUCAGAGGAAAUUGUUAUGGCCAUUACUUGCUUCACCAUCUCCAGAGUUAUGGAGCCAUGAUGGAAAUUUGGACAAUAAUAAUAGUUUUCUGUCCAAUGAGAUAAUGACAGGUGUUUAAGACCAUUUUCCAUGAGCUCUGCCUUGCUUGUGUGAUGGAUGGCUCAAUUUCAGCUUCGUAAUCAUCUUGAAAAUCAUCUCUGUAAAUGCGUACAAUAAUGUAUCUUUCCAUAAAGGGAAAAAAGGGUUUCAACAUCAUGAAGAGGGCCAAUCACAAGGUUACAAGCCGAAGGGGGGCAAGAAUCCAUCAAGACUUGUUUGUCUCAGCUAAACAUCUUUUUGAAGAAGAGAAACCUCUACUUCAGCAUUUGAAGUAAUAUACUUGAGGACAAAGGAGAAUAAGUGAGAAAGUUACUUCAAGGCAACAUAAAGACACCAAGCCCAAGAGCUCCAAUUUAGUAGUUGAUUAGGGAUUGAACCUCAAGGUAUCAAACAUUAGAGAGAUAGAAUCGAAUAAUAGGACGAAAACCAAGCUUAAAUGGAAUAUUUGAAGUCCCAAAGAUGAAAUUAGGUUAAAAGGAGGAGAAAAUAACCGUGGAUGCCCUCCGCCGCAGCGUCGUAGUGUUGGAUUGACACCAUCCACAUUGCUGAAGACAGAAGCUGCAUCAUGAGGAAGUGUCGUGAUACUAGUGCAAGUACAGAAAUAUCAUUCUAGGAAGGAAAAGCCAACGAACAUUGGCAUUGGUUACAGUGUCGUGGCACCACCAAACUUACAUAAAUACUAUCUUUGUAUUCUAGAUUAAAGGAUCCCUUCAAUCCCCCCUCUGAAACUAAGCCUGUUUCACCAUUUUCUCUGUAUUUUGUCUAUUCUCAUGAUAAAGAAACUCAUCUUGGUCGUUAG